rnacentral:rRNA from 1 species
UACGUAGGUGACAAGCGUUGUCCGGAUUUACUGGGCGUAAAGAGCGCGCAGGCGGUCGUUCAAGUCGAGUGUGAAAGCCCCCGGCUCAACUGGGGAGGGUCAUUCGAUACUGAUCGACUCGAAGGCAGGAGAGGGUAGUGGAAUUCCCGGUGUAGUGGUGAAAUUCGUAGAUAUUCGGAAGAACACCAGUGGCGAAGGCGGCUCACUGGACCGGCAUUGACGCUGAUGUGCGAAAGCGUGGAGAGCAAACAGG